rnacentral:rRNA from 1 species
GUGGGGAAUAUUGGACAAUGGGCGCAAGCCUGAUCCAGCCAUGCCGCGUGAGUGAUGAAGGCCCUAGGGUUGUAAAGCUCUUUCACCGGUGAAGAUAAUGACGGUAACCGGAGAAGAAGCCCCGGCUAACUUCGUGCCAGCAGCCGCGGUAAUACGAAGGGGGCUAGCGUUGUUCGGAAUUACUGGGCGUAAAGCGCACGUAGGCGGAUUGUUAAGUUAGGGGUGAAAUCCCAGGGCUCAACCCUGGAACUGCCUCUAAUACUGGCAAUCUCGAGUCCGAGAGAGGUGAGUGGAAUUCCGAGUGUAGAGGUGAAAUUCGUAGAUAUUCGGAGGAACACCAGUGGCGAAGGCGGCUCACUGGCUCGGUACUGACGCUGAGGUGCGAAAGCGUGGGGAGCAAACAGGAUUAGAAACCCGUGUAGUCC